rnacentral:tRNA from 1 species
GCCCGGAUGGUCUAGUGGUAUGAUUCGCCCUUAGGGAACUGAGCAUCUUCACGCCUUGCUGGCGCACUGGGUGUAUCUACUUUGGGCGAGGUCCCCGGUUCAAUCCCGGGUUCGGGCC